rnacentral:rRNA from 1 species
AUGCAUGUCAUGGAUGGUGAAGGAAUCCAAGAUGUGCAGGCUGCGUUUGUUGCAGCUAGUGAAGGAAGGCAAGAUGUGCAGGCUCUGUUUGCUGCAGCUAGUGAAGGAAGACAAGCGGCUGGGGAUUGUGGACAUGCUUUGGAAAUCACCACAUCGUCCUUGGUUACGGAAAAAGAACCUCUUGUUGCAGCUAGUGAAGGAAGCCAAGAUGUGCAAGCUGUGCUUGUUGCAGCUCGUGAAGGAAGCCAAGAUGUGCAGGCUGCGUUUGUUGCAGCUAGUGAAGGAAGCCAAGAUGUGAAGGUUGUGCUUGUUGUAGCUACUGAAGGAAGUCAAGAAGCUGCUAACUCUGGAAAUGGUUUGGAAGCUACAGCAUUGUCUUUGGUUACUGAAAAAGCACCUCUUGAUAUGGCUGAAUCGCACAACUGUCCUCGCUCUCCCACAUCAGCGCCGUUCCCCAGCCCGACUUCUACCGUUCUGAAGGCUCCGACCUUUGAAGGUGGCGAUGCAAAGCUGGUAAGAGGGAAGGUGAAGCGUCCCAGGAAGAACUACCACACUGGUACUCCUAGGACAAGUCCUAGGUUUGAACUGAAGCCUGAAUGUCGGAACGGGCCUCUAGAAGAGCUGCCAGCCGAGGCACUGACCUCUGAAGGUGGCGACGCAGAGCUGGUGAGAGAGAAGAUGCAACAUCCUGGGAAGGAUUACCAUUCCGGCACUCCUGGGACAAGUCCUAGGUUUGAACCGAAGCGUGAAUGUCAUAACGGGCCUGUGAAAGAGCUGCCAGCCGAGGCUCUGACCUCUGAAGGUGGCAACGCAAAGCUGUUGAGAGGGAAGGUCAAGCAUCCUCGGAUGAACUACCAUACCAGCACUCCUAGGAUAAGUCCUAGGUUUGUACCGAAGCUUGAAUGUCAUAACAGGCCUGUGGAAGAGCUGCCAGCCAAGGCUCUGACCUCUGAAGGUGGCAAUGAAGAGCUGGUGAGAGGGAAGCUGAAACAUCCUAGGAAGAACUACCCUGCUGGCACUCCUAGGACAAGUCCUAGGUUUGAACCAAAGCGUGAAUGUCAUAACGGGUCUGUGGAAGAAAUGCCAGCCAAGGUUCUGACCUCUGAAGGUGGUGAUGCUGAGCUGGUGAGAGGGGAAGUGAAACUUUCUAGGAAGAACUACCAUACCGGCACUCCUCGGACAAGUCCUAGGUUUGCAACAAAGCGUGGAUGUCGUAACGGGUCUGUGGAAGAGCUGCCAGCUGAGGUUCUGACCUCUGAUGGUGCUGAUGCAGAGCUGGUUAGGGAGAAGGUGAAACAUGCUAGGAAGGAUUACCAUACUGGCACUCCUAGGACAAGUCCUAGGUUUCAACUGAAGCGUGAACGUCACAAGGGGCCCGUGGAAGAACUGGCAGCCGAUCACAUGAGGUUCCGCACACUAGAAGAAUUAAUUGCCUCUCCUGACAAUGCAGAAUCUGCGAAGACCCCCUCUACCGACUCUCUGAACUAA